UACGUAGGGACCAAGCGUUGUUCGGAUUUACUGGGCGUAAAGGGCGCGUAGGCGGCUUGACAAGUCAAAGGUGAAAUCCCUCGGCUCAACUGAGGAACUGCCUUUGAAACUGUCUGGCUUGAGGCCGGGAGGGGGUAGCGGAAUUCCCAGUGUAGCGGUGAAGUGCGUAGAUAUUGGGAGGAACACCAGUGGCGAAGGCGGCUCACUGGACUGGUACUGACGCUGAGGCGCGAAAGCGUGGGGAGCAAACGGG
rnacentral:rRNA from 1 species